rnacentral:rRNA from 1 species
CCUACGGGUGGCAGCAGUGAGGAAUAUUGGUCAAUGGUCGGGAGACUGAACCAGCCAAGCCGCGUGAGGGAUGAAGGUACAGCGUGUCGUAAACCUCUUUUGUCAGGGAAUAAAGUCGGGGACGUGUCCCCGGCUGAGUGUACCUUAAGAAAAAGCAUCGGCUAACUCCGUGCCAGCAGCCGCGGUAAUACGGAGGAUCCGAGCGUUAUCCGGAUUUAUUGGGUUUAAAGGGUGCGAAGGUGGGUUGUUAAGUCAGGUGUCAAAGGCCGGGGCUCAACCCGGGGACUGCAGUUGAAACUGGCAGUCUCGAGUUGGAGAGAGGUAUGCGGAAUGCGGGGUGUAGCGGUGAAAUGCAUAGAUAUCGCGCAGAACUCCGAUUGCGAAGGCAGCAUGCUGG